rnacentral:lncRNA from 1 species
GUUCGGCUGCCGGCCCAAGUAGCAGCAGUGCAGCCUGCAGCCCAACAACUCGGCUGCAGAGCAAGCAUCUUCUCUUUGUGAUGAACCAUUCCUAUUUGUAAGUCACGCAAAUGCUAGAAAGAUCAAAGGAGCGAAGCAGAUAGGGAGAGACGCUCCUCUAAGGUUUGGAAUUCGGACGCCGCCCUUCGUAUUCGCCUUCCGUGAAGGUUGCCGGCGCAUCAAGGGUGCCAAAUUAGGUCGGCGACGCCUCCCUCACCCCUUUCCCAAUCGGCGGCCAGCAUUCUCGGGAGGCGACAGCAACAUCGCAGAUCGCACCUCAAGCCUUCGGCAUCUGCUCAUUCGGGAUGUGGGAAGCUCCACCGUAGCUCACAGAGUACUUUCCCAAGAAGAGGAAUUUGGUGAGUAGGCUUCGAGAUGAUUAGCACUAGUUGUGUUGUGUGUUUUGAUUUGCUACCGCGAUAUGUUUUCUAGUGGAAAUAAUCAGCUUCUGCAAUGAUGUGACUAGUAUACUUGAUGAUUAUUUCUUACUUGUGCUCUUUGUAACUAUUAUUCAGAGUUAG